rnacentral:rRNA from 1 species
GUCCACGCCAUAAACGAUGACAACUAGACGUUGGGAGGUAUAACUUUCCAGUGUCGCAGCUAACGCGUUAAGUUGUCCGCCUGGGGAGUACGGCCGCAAGGUUGAACUCAAAGGAAUUGACGGGACCCGCACAAGCGGUGGAGCAUGUGGUUUAAUUCGAUGCAACGCGAAGAACUUUACCUGGCCUUGACAUGCUUGGAAUCCUGCAGAGAUGUGGGAGUGCCUUCGGGAACCAAGACACAGGUGCUGCAUGGCUGUCGU